rnacentral:rRNA from 1 species
CAACUUUCAACAACGGAUCUCUUGGUUCUGGCAUCAAUGAAGAACGCAGCGAAAUGCGAUACGUAGUGUGAAUUGCAGAAUUCAGUGAAUCAUCAAAUCUUUGAACGCACAUUGCGCCCUUUGGUAUUCCAAAGGGCAUGCCUGUUCGAGCGUCAUUU